GCUUACCAUGCAAGUCGAACGAUGAUGCCCAGCUUGCUGGGUGGAUUAGUGGCGAACGGGUGAGUAACACGUGAGUAACCUGCCCCUGACUCUGGGAUAAGCGUUGGAAACGACGUCUAAUACUGGAUAUGAUCACUGGCCGCAUGGUCUGGUGGUGGAAAGAUUUUUUGGUUGGGGAUGGACUCGCGGCCUAUCAGCUUGUUGGUGAGGUAAUGGCUCACCAAGGCGACGACGGGUAGCCGGCCUGAGAGGGUGACCGGCCACACUGGGACUGAGACACGGCCCAGACUCCUACGGGAGGCAGCAGUGGGGAAUAUUGCACAAUGGGCGAAAGCCUGAUGCAGCAACGCCGCGUGAGGGAUGACGGCCUUCGGGUUGUAAACCUCUUUUAGUAGGGAAGAAGCGAAAGUGACGGUACCUGCAGAAAAAGCACCGGCUAACUACGUGCCAGCAGCCGCGGUAAUACGUAGGGUGCAAGCGUUGUCCGGAAUUAUUGGGCGUAAAGAGCUCGUAGGCGGUUUGUCGCGUCUGCUGUGAAAUCCCGAGGCUCAACCUCGGGCUUGCAGUGGGUACGGGCAGACUAGAGUGCGGUAGGGGAGAUUGGAAUUCCUGGUGUAGCGGUGGAAUGCGCAGAUAUCAGGAGGAACACCGAUGGCGAAGGCAGAUCUCUGGGCCGUAACUGACGCUGAGGAGCGAAAGCAUGGGGAGCGAACAGGAUUAGAUACCCUGGUAGUCCAUGCCGUAAACGUUGGGCGCUAGAUGUAGGGACCUUUCCACGGUUUCUGUGUCGUAGCUAACGCAUUAAGCGCCCCGCCUGGGGAGUACGGCCGCAAGGCUAAAACUCAAAUGAAUUGACGGGGGCCCGCACAAGCGGCGGAGCAUGCGGAUUAAUUCGAUGCAACGCGAAGAACCUUACCAAGGCUUGACAUACACCGGAAACGGCCAGAGAUGGUCGCCCCCUUGUGGUCGGUGUACAGGUGGUGCAUGGUUGUCGUCAGCUCGUGUCGUGAGAUGUUGGGUUAAGUCCCGCAACGAGCGCAACCCUCGUUCUAUGUUGCCAGCGGGUUAUGGCGGGGACUCAUAGGAGACUGCCGGGGUCAACUCGGAGGAAGGUGGGGAUGACGUCAAAUCAUCAUGCCCCUUAUGUCUUGGGCUUCACGCAUGCUACAAUGGCCGGUACAAAGGGCUGCGAUACCGUAAGGUGGAGCGAAUCCCAAAAAGCCGGUCUCAGUUCGGAUUGAGGUCUGCAACUCGACCUCAUGAAGUCGGAGUCGCUAGUAAUCGCAGAUCAGCAACGCUGCGGUGAAUACGUUCCCGGGCCUUGUACACACCGCCCGUCAAGUCAUGAAAGUCGGUAACACCCGAAGCCGGUGGCCUAACCCUUGUGGAAGGAGCCGUCGAAGGUGGGAUCGGUGAUUAGGACUAAGUCGUAACAAGGUAAACCGUAA
rnacentral:rRNA from 1 species